ACACUUUGACACCAGUUUAACCCCCAAAAAGAGGGGAAUACUUUUCAUUCCGUGCAUCAGAAGUGAUUUGUUUGCUCUGUCGUUUUGCAUCUUUAAGAGCAAAGUGGAAUUAGUGCAGGCUGUGAUGUUUAGUCAAGGUAUUACAAGUAAACACUUGAUCAUUCUUACUCACACCAGUAAUAGGAUUUACAACCCUCUGUGUAGAAUUUUGGUCUUUCAACUCGAGCCCUAAACAAGUGUUCCAGCCUUGGCUUUGGGGCAGGACACUUGUGGUGGCUUUAGCACCUAUAAAUAACUUAAAGCAUUCUGUCUUUAGGCCACAGUAAUGAAUGUUGCACUUCUAUGGCAACUCCAGGUAAUCUGCAGAGGAUAAAACCUUUUAUGAUCCAAAAGAUGAGGGGGGCAGCAGUGACCAGAUUGAUUUUGAGGCCUUAAAAAGGGGUGAUACCUGUUUGUGGUUUAUUGUGGCAUUUCUGGUGUUCAGGUCAGGAACUGGCCUUCUGUCCAGUGUUGCUUGUUUCUGGAUAAAGGAGUGGGACUGAAAUCUGUCUCUCUGACAGUUUAAUUCUGGAGCUGUGCUUGGGAAGUAUCUGGUGACCCAUCUAUUAAAUCUUGUCCGGUUAGUCGAGAUUUUUAAAUAAUAUAAUUAGCGCUCAUAUGAAUAUUUAUUUUUUUUUUUUGAAGCCUGUAGAGUUGUGUAACAAUUGCAUAAACUGACAGUACAUAAUUCCCAUUUAUCACUGUUGAAACCCCCCCAAAAAAAUCCUUAAAUGAACCGUCUCCCAAGGAUCCCUCAUCCCGGCUGGGACAGAGAUGUGGGAGAGUCCCAGUAGCAGCUCUGGAGCUGAGGCAGAGGCGCCUGCUCACACUCCUGUGAUUGUUCUGCCACUUAUGUCAUCUUGGAGCGUUUGAACUCCACUUGCUGAGGGCGUGGGGAUGGCUCUGAACGAGCACAAUUCCGAUUUCUCUGGGUGGAAAUAAGUUCAUUUGCUUUCUUCGCCUGUUGGGCUGAGAUUGAGCCGUUCCAGGGCCUGGUUAUCAGCACGGGGCACUCGGGUUACUCAGGGCAGGUCAGCUUUUUUUCUUUCCCCACUCUGCUUUUGGCUCCUUGGCAGGGCUGGAACAAAGAGGGGAUGUGUGGCCCUUGUGUCCUGCAGCACCACAAACAUGAGUAACCAGCAACAGAAACAGAACAGCUGCCCUCCUGGAGGUUUUUAAUCUCUUAAAAUUCAAGUCCUUAACUCUCUGAACAGUCACCUGCCUGGCACAGGGGGCAGAGCUCCAGAAGGGUGCACACUUGUCUCCCAACUUCCUGGUAUUUCCCUGUGGAUAAACUCCCUUGCCCUGGAGAGUGUGGUGGGGUGAUUCAUUUCUCUCACUGGAAACUACUCUGAGGAGUUUCUUGGUUGCAAAACAGCUUAUCUGUAAAGAAUUUACAACCCGAGGUACACAGCUCUUUUAAAUAUCUUUUGCAGUCCCUUUCAUGUAUCUUAGGGUAUAUUUAGCAAUGUUUAACCUGUAUCUGUUGCUUUUUAUAGGUUAAUUAUGCAGUGUGUGCCAGCCUAAGGAAUGUAUAGUCUGAUCCUGCUGGCUGCCAGUUAAAGAUUAAUUGUGACACUCUUUGUGUGUAAUCCUUGAAAAAUGAAGCUUGAUGGGUGUAGUAUUUGUGCUCAGUGUCUCCUGGGGAGAGGGGAAGUUGUCCAGGAUAAAUAAUACAUGGUUGUGUUAUCCUGUGUUGUAACUUGCAUUUCAGGCACGUGAAAUUAAAACCUGAACUUGCAUUUCCAGCAAGCGAAAAUUAAAACCUGAAUUUGCAUUUCCAGCAAGUGAAAAUUAAAACCUGAAUUUGCACUUCCAGCAGGUGAAAAUUAAAACCUGGAUUUGCACUUCCAGCAAGUGAAAUGAAACCUGCUUUUAAGAGUUAAAAAGGUACCGAGCUGAGCGUUCAAAUCUGGUGCUUCAAAGCCAACACCUCAGGGCUCUCAGCUCAAAAAUAGGGGUGUCUUGCCUUUCUCCCCCCCCCCAGAAGGGCUCUUCCAGCCCUGUAAUUCCCAAGGCUGGGAGGUUGCAGUGCUCAUGUACAAAGGGAUUUACUUGGCCAUGUGAAUUUGACACCUCUGCACCACGUGUGAGAGCCACACAGGGGCUGGAUGCUCUUUGGAAUGAAGGGAAUUUUUUUCCAGUGGGCCAAUCAGUAGUCCUGGCGUUGCUAAUUUUACCACUCAGCUCCCAGAAAUUUGCUGGAGGUGCAGAUUAAUGAAAUCUCUUUUUCUCAGGUUUAAAUUCUUAAAACAGAUACACCCCGGAACACAAGCGAGGCAAUUUUAGUUGUCUAUUUUUAGAGAGCAAAUUGCUAAAAACACACGUGCUUUGUUACAAUGCUGCUUUUAGGAGAGGGCUGUGGGGCUGUGUGUCAAGAAUUGAAUUAUCUGGUCGUGUUUGUGGCUCUGGAGAAUUAGUUUUGACUCUGGGAGAUCUCUUUGGGUGCACCUCACCCUGUAUUUCAGGCACAGUGCUCCACUGAAAGUUGUGUCCUCGGAAGAGGCUGUUUUUUAAAGAUCAAGCCUAUUGUUAAACCCACAUUGUCUGCAAUUUGGACAGCUCUUAAUGCAUCUUGAACUCCGAAUCCAGAGAGAUUUGGAUUUAUAGAUUGAAUAAAGGUCUCUAGACAUUUA